GGCCGGGGCGGGGCGGGCUGGCAGUGCCGCGGACCCGGCUCCCUCCAGCGCCCUCCCUCUCACCCCAUCCCAGCCCGCUGUCCAACCCUUCCCCGACCUGGACCUCUCCCGGCGGCUGGCUCCUAGGCAUCCUCUCCUCCAGGUGCCCCGCUGUGACCUGCGGAGCUGCAGACAGACGCCAAGACAGGAUUUGUCUCAGGAUACAACCCCCAGUGGACCCAAAAUAUUUGAGUCAAGAGAUAAGAAACUACUAUAAGCAAAUAUAAAAUGAACUAAAAAUGUUAAUGACUACUUUGUUAAGAACUAUGCAAUAUAGUGGAGCCCAAACAGCCCUGGGGCAGUACCACCAGGUGUACCAUGAACAUCUCUUCCAUGCACGUGGGUGAAAAUCCCCUACUGAAACACAGAGAGCACUGUAGUUGGAUCAAAAGGCUGCUGGUAACGAGAGUGACACCUAAAGCAAAGUAUCAGCGUAAGGUUAAAGUACAUAGCCUGGCAAAUGCCUGCCAGGGAAAGCAGGGUCAGCGAUAUUCUCAUCAGAGGAGUCAGAAUUGAAGGCCAAAGGCAUUAAAGAUAUGGGAUAUCAUCUCUUCCUGAGCCCUUGACAUAUCUGCACAUUCUCUCAUCAUCU